rnacentral:lncRNA from 1 species
CCGCGUUGGCCGAACUCCCAGCAUCCUUUGCAGCGAUGCCAUUGGCCGAGCUCCCAGCAUCCUUUGCAGAGAUGCCAUUGGCCGAGCUCCCAGCAUCCUUUGCAUCCUCUUGGACAGCCAAACUCCCAGCAUGCUUUGCAGCCUCUAGGUUGACCGAACUCCCAGAGUCCUUUGCAGCGAAGCUAUCAGCCAGAUUCCCAUCAUCCUUUGCAGCCCCUGAGUUGGUCGAGCUCCCAGCGUCCCUUGCAGCGAUGUUAUUAGUUGGACUCCCAGCAUCCUUUGCAGCCUCUGGGACAGCCAAUAUCCCAGCAUCCUUUGCACCCCCUGAUUUGGCCGAGCUCUCAGUGUCCUUUGCAGCCACAUUGUUGGUCGUGCUCCCAGAGUCCUUUGCAGCCCCUAAGCUGACUGAGCUCCCAGCAUCCUCUGGGGCCUCCGGGACAGCCAACGUCCCAGUGUCCUUUGCAGUCUCUGGGGUGGCCGCAUUCCCAGCAGCCUUUGUGGCUAUACCAUUGGCCGAGCUCCCAGCAUCCUUUGCGGCCAGGGCUUCUCCCUCGGCUGCAGGGGCGGGAGAGCCAUUGGCAGGCGCUUUCCCAGCACCCUCAGCGGUGGCCACACUCCCAGCAUCCUUUGCAACCUCUAGGCUGGCCAAGCUCCCAGCAUCCUUUGCAGCUGUGCUGUUGGACGAGCUCCCAGCAUGCUUUGCAGCCCCAGAGUCAACUGAACUCCCAGUAUCCUUUGCAGGUACAUUUUUGGUUGUGCUCCCAGCAUGCUUUGCAGCGUUCAAGUUGACCGAGCUCCCAGUAUGCUUUGCAGCCCCAGGGUUGGACAAACUCCCAGUGUCCUUUGCAGUGAUGCCAUCAGUCAAACUCCCAGCAUGCUUUGCAGCCCUGGACUUGGCUGAAUUCCCAGCAUCCUUUGCAGCGAUGCUAUCAGUCAAACUCCCAGCGUCCUUUGCAGCCCCUGAGUUGACUGAACUCCCAGCAUCCUUUGCAGCUCCAGACUUGGCCAAGCUCCCAGCAUCCUUUGCAGUGAUGCCAUCAGUCAAAUUCCCAGCAUGCUUUGCAGCCCCAGACUUGGCUGAAUUCCCAGCAUCCUUUGCAGCGAUGCCAUCAGUCAAAUUCCCAGCAUGCUUUGCAGGCCCUGAGUUGACUGAAUUCCCAGCAUCCUUUGCAGCGAUGCCAUCAGUCAAAUUCCCAGCAUGCUUUGCAGCCCCAGACUUGGCUGAAUUCUCAGCAUCCUUUGCAGCGAUGCCAUCAGUGAAACUCCCAGCGUCCUUUGCAGCCCCAGGGUUGGCUGAACUCCCAGCAUCCUUUGCAGCUCCAGACUUGGCCAAGCUCCCAGCGUCCUUUGCAGCGAUGUUAUCAGUCAAAUUCCCAGCAUGCUUUGCAGCCCCAGACUUGGCCGAACUCCCAGCAUCCUUUGCAGCGAUGCCAUCAGUGAAACUCCCAGCGUCCUUUGCAGCCCCAGGGUUGGCUGAACUCCCAGCAUCCUUCGCAGCGACGCCGGUCGCCG